GGGGAUUUAGCUCAGUGGUAGAGCGCUUGCAUAGCAAGUGCAAGGCCCUGGGUUCGGUCCCCAGCUCCG
rfam:Rattus norvegicus chromosome 2, whole genome shotgun sequence.